AGUUGACCGCCUGGGGAGUACGGUCGCAAGAUUAAAACUCAAAGGAAUUGACGGGGACCCGCACAAGCGGUGGAUGAUGUGGAUUAAUUCGAUGCAACGCGAAAAACCUUACCUACCCUUGACAUGUCUGGAAUGCCGAAGAGAUUUGGCAGUGCUCGCAAGAGAACCGGAACACAGGUGCUGCAUGGCUGUCGUCAGCUCGUGUCGUGAGAUGUUGGGUUAAGUCCCGCAACGAGCGCAACCCUUGUCAUUAGUUGCUACGCAAGAGCACUCUAAUGAGACUGCCGGUGACAAACCGGAGGAAGGUGGGGAUGACGUCAAGUCCUCAUGGCCCUUAUGGGUAGGGCUUCACACGUCAUACAAUGGUCGGGACAGAGGGUCGCCAACCCGCGAGGGGGAGCCAAUCUCAGAAACCCGAUCGUAGUCCGGAUCGCAGUCUGCAACUCGACUGCGUGAAGUCGGAAUCGCUAGUAAUCGCGGAUCAGAAUGUCGCGGUGAAUACGUUCCCGGGUCUUGUACACACCGCCCGUCACACCAUGGGAGUGGGUUUCACCAGAAGUAGGUAGCUUAACCGUAAGGAGGGCGCUUACCACGGUGGGAUUCAUGACUGGGGUGAAGUCGUAACAAGGUAACCGAAGG
rnacentral:rRNA from 1 species